rnacentral:rRNA from 1 species
GACGAACGCUGGCGGCGCGCUUAACACAUGCAAGUCGAGCGAGAACCCAGGCUUCGGCCUGGGGGAAAGCGGCGAACGGGUGAGUAUCACGUGGGUAAUCUGCCCUCGGCAUCGGGAUAGCCCGGGGAAACCCGGAUUAAUACCGAAUGGCCCAUCCGCUCUUCGGAGUGGCUGGAAAAGGUAGCUUCGGCCUCCGGCCGAGGAGGAGCCCGCGGCGGAUUAGCUUGUUGGUGAGGUAACGGCUCACCAAGGCGACGAUCCGUAGCUGGUCUGAGAGGACGAUCAGCCACACGGGGACUGAGACACGGCCCAGACUCCUACGGGAGGCAGCAGUGGGGAAUCUUGCGCAAUGGGCGAAAGCCUGACGCAGCGACGCCGCGUGCGGGAAGAAGGCCUUCGGGUUGUAAACCGCUUUCAGGAGGGACGAAGCCACUCAGGUUAAUAGCCGAGAGGGUGACGGUACCUCCAGAAGAAGCCCCGUCUAACUACGUGCCAGCCGCCGCCGUAACAC